rnacentral:snRNA from 1 species
GCGCUCACUUCGGCAGCACAUAUACUAAAAUUGGAUGCAUGCAGAGUAGAUUAGCAUGGCCCUGUGCAAGGAUGCCGCAAAAAUUUGUGAAGCAUUCCCUAUUUUU